rnacentral:rRNA from 1 species
UGGGGAAUAUUGGACAAUGGGCGCAAGCCUGAUCCAGCAAUGCCGCGUGUGUGAAGAAGGCCUGCGGGUUGUAAAGCACUUUCAGUGGGGAGGAAGGCCUCGGCGUUAAUAUCGUCGAGGAUUGACGUUACCUACAGAAGAAGCACCGGCUAACUCUGUGCCAGCAGCCGCGGUAAUACAGAGGGUGCAAGCGUUAAUCGGAAUUACUGGGCGUAAAGGGCGCGUAGGUGGUUAAUUAAGUCUGAUGUGAAAGCCCUGGGCUCAACCUGGGAAUGGCAUUGGAAACUGGGCAGCUAGAGUGCGGUAGAGGGUAGUGGAAUUCCCGGUGUAGCAGUGAAAUGCGUAGAGAUCGGGAGGAACAUCUGUGGCGAAGGCGACUGCCUGGACCAGCACUGACACUGAGGCACGAAAGCGUGGGGAGCAAACA